UGCUUUGCUAGGUCCCCUAGUGAAGGGCUGGGCAGCAGGAGCACGAGAAGUUCUCACCGCCUGGGAGUUACUCGGUCUGGGUCCAUGGGUAGGCGUGCUAGGGGACAGAGACGCCACAACCUCCUGCGCCUUCCCUGUCAGCUUGCACUGGAGUAGCAAAGGCCAGACCUCUUUAGGCCAGUGAAGUGCCCCUGCUACUCGCUCGAAGGCGGAGAAAUGAGAGUCCACCUCUGACUCACGGAAUGGAGGUCAGCUUCAAGACGGGCUACACGAAGCCGGAGCCUAGCGGUCUCCACCGACCUACCAGACUCUUCAGGAGACGGCUGAAACUUGGGCAGGGUUAGAGGCACCCGGGACUCAACCCCCACACCACCCUCC